rnacentral:misc_RNA from 1 species
CACACCUUAGCUCCUGUAAAGUGGAAUUAAGAUACCCUUAAGAUCCUCAAACUAAAGAGCGUGAACUCCAAUCAUGCUCACAUGGCGAUUUGUUAACUAGGAUCCAAAAGAUAUCUUAAUUCCACUAUACAGCAGUUGGAGUGUGUUAUGGAACAUUUACAAGAGUUGAGAUACGUCGUGGGAUGUUUGAAAAGUUCAGGGUACCACAAG